rnacentral:rRNA from 1 species
AUGAUCAGGUUGAUAGGUCCGAGGUAGAAGUGUGGUGACACAUGCAGCUGACGGAUACUAAUCGGUCAAGGACUUAAUCUAA